ensembl:misc_RNA 7SK 7SK RNA
GGAUGUGAGGGCGAUCUGGCUGCAACAUCUAUCACUCCAUUGAUCACCAGGGUUGAUUCUGCUGAUCUGGCUGGGUAGGCGGGUGUCCCCUUCCUCCCUCACCGCUCCAUGUGUGUCCCUCUGGAAGCUGCGCUCUCAGUCGAAGAGGACGACCUUCCCCAGUAGAGGAGAGGACCGAGAGGACCGUUCUUCAGUCAAGGGUAUACGAGUAGCUGCGUUCCCCUGCUAGAACCUCCCUCCAAAUAAGCUCUCAAGGUCCAUUUGUAGGAGAAUGUAGGGUAGUCAAGUUUCCAAGACUCCAGACACAUCCAAAUGAGGCAGUGCACGUGGCAGUCUGCCUUUCUUA